rnacentral:rRNA from 1 species
UACGUAGGGUGCAAGCGUUGUCCGGAAUUAUUGGGCGUAAAGAGCUCGUAGGCGGUCUGAAAGGUCAGCUGUGAAAACUCGAGGCUCAACCUCGAGACGUCGGUUGAAACCAUCUGGCUAGAGUCCGGAAGAGGAGUGUGGAAUUCCCGGUGUAGCGGUGAAAUGCGCAGAUAUCGGGAAGAACACCCGUGGCGAAGGCGGCACUCUGGGACGGUACUGACGCUGAGACGCGAAAGCGUGGGGAGCGAACAGG